rnacentral:lncRNA from 1 species
CCAGAACCUGGAAGUCACUAGUACAGAGCUACUAACAAAACGAGUACAAGUCCCCAAAAGUGGACCAUAGAGACUAGACUGUCUCGAAAGGUAAAAGACAAGUCUAUAUACACAGGUGCUCAGACCUGCAUCACGAAACAGAUGCAGAGCGUAGGAUGAGUACCAAAAUAACAGGUACCCAGUAGGCAUCAUAGGCCGACUGAACUUAGAAAGUAAAGACAAUAUGAAAAGAAGGAAUAACUCAAACUGAAGUCAAGAACGAAAAUCUAACUAACAAUGGAAUGCACACGAGUGUAGAAAGAACUAACUAAAGUAAUCUAUAAGCUAACUACACCUAACUGGACCCCCAUAAGCCCAGAAGGUACACUCGUGCGCAAGUUAAAUAAAAACCCGAACGGACCCCCAUAAGCCCGACGAGUACACAUAACAACUAUAACUAAAGGGAAUUGCAUAUAAGAACCCAAGAACGAAGAACAUCGAACCAGAACCUCAACCUCAAUUAGUAGAAUCUAACAGUACAGAGGCCGGACCUCGAACCGGAUGCUCACUAGAAGUACCCAAGUAACCAAUCAAAAGUAUCAAGUAUUUGAGGCCGGAACUCUAACCCGAUGCUUUGUAUAGGUUUCUGGGCAAUAGAGGCCGGAACUCUAACCGGAUGCUCUGUAUAGGUUUCUGGGCAAUAAAGGCCGGAACUCUAACCGGAUGCUCUAUAUAAGUAUCAACAUAGCUGUUGAAAGAGUCCCAAUCGAUCCAUACUCAGAAAUGUCCGUGGAACGCCGUCCAUACUUAUCCAUAUAAGUAUCUGGGCAAUAGAGGCCGGACCUUAAACCGGAUGCUCUAUAUAAGUAUCUGACCAAUAGAGGCCGGAACUCUAACCGGAUGCUCUAUAAAGGUGCCAACAUAGCUGUUGAAAGAGUCCCAAUCGAUCCAUACUCAGAAAUAUGUGGAACGCCGUCCACACUUAGCCAAUCAAUGUAAGUCCUUGGAACUGAAUCGAAAAUCAAAUUUAAAUCACGAAGCAGAACUAGCGUCGCCGACUUAACUCGUGAAGCCGUAACAUUGGGGAAAUAAGGAUAACUAUCGUCGGAGCAAGCGUAUCACCUAGAUAAGGCCCAAACUAUCAGACUUAAGUCUGCUACACCAGUCUACAGGGAUCUAAGCCGGCUGAGCGACGUCGGGGCAAAACUAAGGCCUAUCAUAUCAGAAUCAUGUAUUUCUAAGGCAAGCCCUAGUCAAACCUAAACUAAGGCCCAAUAAGCUUCAAGUAAAUAGUAAUUAAGCAUGCAAGCACUCCACAUAUCAAGGAGGGUCGAUUAAUAACACAAAGCAUGCUCACAGUUACCCGAUAAUUCUCGAAAUAGGCCGAAAACAUGAUUUCUAAACACCGAUGCAUGAUUCAAUAACUACCCAACCCAAAUCCCAACUAAUCAACAUGCAUUCACACUCUUAAGCUCAAUCUAAGAGAGGGAAACCGUAGCCUACCUGUAGGCCAAUCACACGCGCUCCAAAAUCACUUCUCCGGAGCUUUCGCUUUCCGAACGGCCUCGAAAUGCUGCCCCGCUAUCAAAAAUAGAGUCACAUCGUUAUUACGAUCGUUUAGACACCGAAAUCACAAGAAACAGAGAUGAGUCAAUUUUGGAGUCAAAACGAAGAUCGUGGGACCCGCACCGAACUAUUCGAAUUUGACUACGUCAAGUGACCCAAAACAGCACCCCAAACUUGUGUUCCAAAAUGGAACACAAUUCGGGGCUCAAAACGCAGCAAAAACCAACAAGCAAGAAAAUCACACUUUAAUCAACUAAAAAAGAAAACAGCAACAGUCUAAACUCGAAAUUAAUGAGAAUUAAAAAGUCUCCAGCACUCCUUGAACACUCUACGAUGAAGCCACAACAAUUUCCAACACGUGGGACUUCGAAUCACCCAAAACCGAGCUAAAAUGAGUGAGAUAUGACCAAAACAAGAUGCCAAAAAUAAAAGCUCGAAAAAGUACUGCAGUCAGAUUAUCGUGAAAUUUACCUCGAACUACGCGUACCUGACAACUUCCAAA